CUCUCUCUGGCGGCCCCCAACGCUCACGCCGAGAAAGGGCAGGUGCGCAUGCGCUUCGCCUUCCCGCUCCCUCCCUCGCCUCCACUAUCCCAUGAGCCCUUGCGAGCCCAUAUUUAAGUCCCUCGCCGCAACUCCGUCGUCCUCUUUUGUCGCCGGCGGUGAGUGAAGUGGCCGUGGCGUUUGGGUGGGCGGGGAGGUGAACGAGAGCCGAUUUUUAAACUGAUUUCGUUCGGCGCCCCCAGGGUUCCCACUUCUUAACGAGCCCCUCGCCUAAGCCAGCGUCCCUCCUCCGGGGUCUGUGGGGCCGCGGCGGCAGCCCUCUCCGAGCUCUCAGCGCUCAUGCGCGCGCCGCGCGUCCCCGGGAAGGAGGGGGCAGCUGGCAUAUUCCGCCCCUAGAGCGCCGACGCCGAGGGGUCGCGGCCGGCAUUUAUGUGGCUCUCGUGUGUCGGGGCCGGGGCGGGCCCUCGGUGAUGAACCCUUUCACAGACCUGUGCUGACGCUGUCUGAGGACAAGAACGCCGUCUGAGGAGGAGCCCGCGCGCCCUGGCGCCCCGGCUCCUGUGGGGUGCGUGGGGGCGCAGAGCCCCCCUGACCCCGCUUCCUCCCCGCAGGGCCGCCCGUGGCUGAGCGCCGCCGCCCCGCUGUGCCCCGCCGUGCCCCGGGUUGGUGUCGGCCCAGGACGCCAGGCAGGCCGUCCUGGGGAGGGAUGCUCGUGCUGCAGACCUUUGCUUAUCCUUCAACUAAGCUGGAUGAGGGAGGUUCUGGCUUCCAUUUCUCAGUGGACGUGACCUGAACAUGCCACAGCAUGUUAGAGUUCUGAUGGCAGCUCCUGUUGUUGGACGCUUUCUGCACCAGCCUUGGUCCCUCUGGCCCACCCAUUUCCCUCCCUCUCUCCCAGAUGACCUGGACGCGUGUGACCUUCAUCUUUCUUCUUAAGAAGGGAAUGCUGACCAGUGCCGCCCCAGACUGAGAAGUCAGCGGCUAAACCAGUUUCCUGCUUUCCAUCAACUAGUAGCUUUUCAAAAGGUCCUUUGAAGAGCUGCCUGAAGGAGACUGUCAAGGGCAGGUUGUGAGGCCAUUUACUGCCAGUUGCAGGCUCUGGCUGCCUGACAUGGAGCAGCAGGACACCAAGGUCGAUAUCUACAGGCUGGUUCUUUGCGGUGCUGGCGUGGCAAAGGAACUUUAGUAGGCGAGGCAGUCUUCGCUCCACUUGGAUCAACUCCAGAAAUUAGGAACUGCAACAUGAGAAGAUGAUGUACUAUACUGUCAGAACACCCAGCAUACAUGUGGCACUGAAUCAUUCUGUAAAAAGAAAAUGGGCAUUACCUUGUCUUUUGCAAAUAAAGUUUUAUUUCUCUAA